AGUAUAUUAUUUAUCAUUUCUUUGGUAUGAUGAGUAUACUGGCUAAUUAUUUUUGUAUUCCUGCCCCCAACAGACACUUCUACAUCGUGGUUGAAAAAAACCCCCUCCUGGUCUUUUCAUAUGGAAUAACACUAAAGAGCCUUGAGAAGGAACUGCUCCAUCCAGAGGAUCUGAGAGCCUUCAAAAUUAUAUUGAUGACUCAAUUGGUGAGUUUUGCUAGUGGUCAGCUAGAAGAAGUAAGCUAUAACUGAGCAACAUGCUAUUCACAAAGCAUUGUCCCUUGGUUCAGACAUUUUAGAGCAUUCUGAAAGAUUUUUGUUUUUUCUUCCCCUAUAGUGUGCAGUUUUGAGCUCUUUUGCUGCUAUGCACUACUUGGACUGAACUAAGGUAUGUGGAAUUGAUAGUGAAUAGAUGUCCUGCCACACUGAACAAAGUUGGCUAGCCUUUGUUUUCCUCUAAAUACAGAAUACAAGUAUUUGAGUGAUCUCUGAACUAC
rnacentral:lncRNA from 11 species